GUAAGGUCAAGUAGAAAAGGGCGCACGGUGAAUGCCUAGGCACUAACAGCCGAAGAAGGACGUGACGAACUACGAAAAGCUUCGGGGAGCGGUAAGUACGCAGUGAUCCGGAGAUAUCCGAAUGGGGGAACCCAAUGCAGAGAUGCAUUAUUGAUUAGUGAAUAGAUAGCUAAUCAAAGGAAGACGCAGUGAACUGAAACAUCUAAGUAGCUGCAGGAAGAGAAAGAAAGAUCGAUUUCCUUAGUAGCGGCGAGCGAAGAGGAAAGAGCCCAAACCAAGUGAUUUAUCAUUUGGGGUUGUAGGACUGCGACGUGGCAGUGUAAGAGAUAGUUGAAUUAUCUGGGAAGGUAAGCCAGAGAGGGUGAGAGCCCCGUAAGCGAAAUCUCAAGCACGCCUAGCAGAAUCCUGAGUAGGCCGGGACACGAGGAAUCCCGGUUGAAACCGCGAGGACCAUCUCGCAAGGCUAAAUACUAGUUAGUGACCGAUAGUGAACCAGUACCGUGAGGGAAAGGUGAAAAGAACCCCGGAAGGGGAGUGAAAAAGAACCUGAAACCGUGUGUCUACAAGUAGUCAAAGCACAUUAAAGUGCAAUGGCGUGCCUUUUGUAGAAUGAACCGGCGAGUUACGUUAUCUAGCGAGGUUAAGUCAGAAAAGACGGAGCCGGAGCGAAAGCGAGUCUUAAUAGGGCGAAAAGUUAGGUGACGUAGACCCGAAACCAAGUGACCUACCCAUGACCAGGCUGAAGGUGUGGUAAAACGCACUGGAGGGCCGAACCCACGUAAGUUAAAAAUUGCGGGGAUGAGUUGUGGGUAGCGGUGAAAUUCCAAACGAACUUGGAGAUAGCUGGUUCUCUCCGAAAUAGCUUUAGGGCUAGCCUCGUGGAGAGGAUAAUGGAGGUAGAGCUCUGUUUGGACUAGGGGCCCGUCAGGGGUUACUGAAUCCAGAUAAACUACGAAUUCCAGAUAUCCAUACACGGGAGUCAGACUGCGAGUGAUAAGAUCCGUAGUCGAAAGGGAAACAGCCCAGAUCACCAGUUAAGGUCCCCAAAUCUAUGCUAAGUGGAAAAGGAUGUGGAGUUGCGUAGACAACUAGGACGUUGGCUCAGAAGCAGCCAUCAUUCAAAGAGUGCGUAAUAGCUCACUAGUCGAGUGGCGCUGCGCCGAAAAUUUACCGGGGCUAAGCAUAGUACCGAAACUGUGGAUGUGUUUUAAAGAGCACGUGGUAGGAGAGCGUUCUAAGAGCGGAGAAGUUGAAUCGAGAGGAUCAAUGGAGCGCUUAGAAGUGAGAAUGCCGGUAUGAGUAGCGAAAGAUAGGUGAGAAUCCUAUCCGCCGAAAGACUAAGGUUUCCUGGGGCAGGCUCGUCCGCCCAGGGUAAGUCGGGACCUAAGGCAAGGCCGAGAGGCGUAGUCGAUGGAUAACAGGUAGAGAUUCCUGUACUGUGUCAAAUCGUUAAGAGCGAAGGAGGGACGCAGGAGGUGAAGCACGCAUCGCGAUGGAACGAUGUUCAAGCAACAAGUGCGGUUAAGAGUCAAAUGCUUCUAACCAGCAACACGAGUUGUGAAGAGGAGUGAAUUAAAAGUAGCGAAGGUGUGGUAAUCACACUGCCAAGAAAAGCUUCUAGCCAGAGAUGACAUACCCGUACCGCAAACCGACACAGGUAGUCGAGUGGAGAACACUAAGGUGAGCGAGAGAACUCUCGUUAAGGAACUCGGCAAAAUGACCCCGUAACUUCGGAAGAAGGGGUGCUAGCCAAGAGAUUGGUUAGCCGCAGUGAAUAGGCCCAAACAACUGUUUAUCAAAAACACAGGUCUCUGCAAAAUCGUAAGAUGACGUAUAGAGGCUGACACCUGCCCGGUGCUGGAAGGUUAAGAGGAGAGCUUAGCGUAAGCGAAGGUUUGAAUUGAAGCCCCAGUAAACGGCGGCCGUAACUAUAACGGUCCUAAGGUAGCGAAAUUCCUUGUCGGGUAAGUUCCGACCUGCACGAAAGGUGUAAUGAUUUGGGCACUGUCUCAACGAGAGACUCGGUGAAAUUAUAAUACCCGUGAAGAUGCGGGUUACCCGCGACAGGACGGAAAGACCCCAUGGAGCUUCACUGUAGCUUGAUAUUGAGUAUCUUUUAAACAUGUACAGGAUAGGUAGGAGCCAGAGAAGAUAGGACGCUAGUCUUAUUGGAGGCAAUGUUGGGAUACUACCCUUGUUUGAAGGAUGCUCUAACCUCGACCUGUAAGCCAGGCCAGGGACAGUGUCAGGUGGGCAGUUUGACUGGGGCGGUCGCCUCCUAAAGUGUAACGGAGGCGCUCAAAGGUUCCCUCAGAAUGG
rnacentral:rRNA from 1 species